rnacentral:rRNA from 1 species
GAUGAACGCUGGCGGCGUGCCUAAUACAUGCAAGUCGAGCGAACAGACGAGGAGCUUGCUCCUCUGACGUUAGCGGCGGACGGGUGAGUAACACGUGGAUAACCUACCUAUAAGACUGGGAUAACUUCGGGAAACCGGAGCUAAUACCGGAUAAUAUAUUGAACCGCAUGGUUCAAUAGUGAAAGACGGUUUUGCUGUCACUUAUAGAUGGAUCCGCGCCGCAUUAGCUAGUUGGUAAGGUAACGGCUUACCAAGGCAACGAUGCGUAGCCGACCUGAGAGGGGGAUCGGCCACACGGGAAGUGAGACACGGUCCAGACUCCUACGGGAGGCAGCAGUAGGGAAUCUUCCGCAAUGGGCGAAAGCCUGACGGAGCAACGCCGCGUGAGUGAUGAAGGUCUUCGGAUCGUAAAACUCUGUUAUUAGGGAAGAACAAAUGUGUAAGUAACUAUGCACGUCUUGACGGUACCUAAUCAGAAAGCCACGGCUAACUACGUG